rnacentral:tRNA from 1 species
GUGGCUCAGUGGAACGAGCCUGGGCUUGGGAGCCAAAGGUUAUGGGUUCGAAUCCCAUC